UACGUAGGGGGCAAGCGUUAUCCGGAUUUACUGGGUGUAAAGGGAGCGAAGACGGAACUGCAAGUCUGAUGUGAAAGCCCGGGGCUCAACCGCGGGACUGCAUCGGAUACUGUAGAUCUGGAGUGCCGGAGGGGCAAGCGGAAUUCCUGGUGUAGCGGUGAAAUGCGUAGAUAUCAGGAGGAACACCGGCGGCGAAGGCAGCUUGCUGGACGGCAACGGACGUUGAGGCUCGAAAGCGUGGGGAGCAAACAGGAUUAGAUACCCUGGUA
rnacentral:rRNA from 1 species